AGUGAACGCUGGCGAUAGGCCUAACACAUGCAAGUCGAACGGCAGCACAGUAAGAGCUUGCUCUUACGGGUGGCGAGUGGCGGACGGGUGAGGAAUACAUCGGAAUCUACUUUUUCGUGGGGGAUAACGUAGGGAAACUUACGCUAAUACCGCAUACGACCUACGGGUGAAAGCAGGGGAUCUUCGGACCUUGCGCGAUUGAAUGAGCCGAUGUCGGAUUAGCUAGUUGGCGGGGUAAAGGCCCACCAAGGCGACGAUCCGUAGCUGGUCUGAGAGGAUGAUCAGCCACACUGGAACUGAGACACGGUCCAGACUCCUACGGGAGGCAGCAGUGGGGAAUAUUGGACAAUGGGCGCAAGCCUGAUCCAGCCAUACCGCGUGGGUGAAGAAGGCCUUCGGGUUGUAAAGCCCUUUUGUUGGGAAAGAAAAGCAGCAGGUUAAUACCCCGCUGUUCUGACGGUACCCAAAGAAUAAGUACCGGCUAACUUCGUG
rnacentral:rRNA from 1 species